UGGGGAAUAUUGGACAAUGGGGGCAACCCUGAUCCAGCAAUGCCGCGUGUGUGAAGAAGGUCUUCGGAUUGUAAAGCACUUUCGACGGGGACGAUGAUGACGGUACCCGUAGAAGAAGCCCCGGCUAACUUCGUGCCAGCAGCCGCGGUAAUACGAAGGGGGCUAGCGUUGCUCGGAAUGACUGGGCGUAAAGGGCGUGUAGGCGGUUUACACAGUCAGAUGUGAAAUCCCCGGGCUUAACCUGGGAGCUGCAUUUGAUACGUGUAGACUAGAGUGUGAGAGAGGGUUGUGGAAUUCCCAGUGUAGAGGUGAAAUUCGUAGAUAUUGGGAAGAACACCGGUGGCGAAGGCGGCAACCUGGCUCAUGACUGACGCUGAGGCGCGAAAGCGUGGGGAGCAAACAGGUUAGAUACCCUGGUAGUCCACGCUGUAAACGAUGUGUGCUAGAUGUUGGGUAACUUUGUUAUUCAGUGUCGCAGUUAACGCGUUAAGCACACCGCCUGGGGAGUA
rnacentral:rRNA from 1 species